GCCUCGGUGGUGUAGUGGUAGAGCACGCGUCCCCGGUUAGGAUGGAAUGCGGCUCGAUUUCCGCCUCAGGCC